rnacentral:lncRNA from 1 species
GAGGAGGAUCAGGUGGACUUGGUGGAUUAGGAGGAGAUUUUGCUAAGGUUGCUGGAGGUUUCUUUAAAUGAAAAUCAUGUGAAUUCGCUUUUGAUUAAUAAGGUUGUUUAUCUUAUCAUAUGAUUAAUAUAGAAUAGGAUAUAGUGUUGUGUGAUGAUGAAUGUAAUAUGUAAGGUAACAGAGUUGUGUUGUCCACUUUAUUAUUGUUUGAACCAAGAUCCUCCUGUCCUUAUUUGUUUAUGUUUUCCCUAAUUCAGCUGCAUAUGUACGUCAGCAUGUGUAUAUAUGUUAGUCAAUCCUGCUAUGUUAUUC